UACGGAGGGGACUAGCGUUGUUCGGAAUUACUGGGCGUAAAGCGCACGUAGGCGGAUUUGUAAGUCAGGGGUGAAAUCCCGAGGCUCAACCUCGGAACUGCCUUUGAUACUGCAAAUCUCGAGUCCGGAAGAGGUGAGUGGAAUUCCUAGUGUAGAGGUGAAAUUCGUAGAUAUUAGGAAGAACACCAGUGGCGAAGGCGGCUCACUGGUCCGGUACUGACGCUCAUGUUCGAAAGCGUGGGGAGCAAACAGG
rnacentral:rRNA from 1 species